rnacentral:lncRNA from 1 species
CUCCCCCAGAGCCAAGCGCCAGAAGAUACAUAAUGUUGCUGUCCAAUGUGAUGUCAACCCGAAGGCGAACGGUUCCCCGUCCUCUAUAGGUGACAUGCAGGUUGGAAAAGAGAAGCAUUUCAAGCAUUCCCCUGCCAGGCAUUUGGCCAUGAAGCCACUUAUGACUUUGGAGGUCCAGUCAUCAGAGUGUGAAGAGAUCCUUCCAAAUGCCUUGCGCCCAUGUUCCAGGAAGGCCAAGCAAGCAGCUCUUUCUGCUCUGCAGGAAGAGAAGGAAUCCUGGAGCGAUGAGGACGAGAUCUUCAUGGACCAGCAAUCAGAGUUGUCAGUUGGUACCAGCACUUCUGGGGCUAAGAAGAAGGUAAAUGUAACCUAACCCAAGCAGAGACUUUUUUAAACAAGACAAAUUGCUCAUUGCUCAUUUCAUCUUUCUAAAAAUAAUUGGACAAUCUAGAUCAGUGGUCACCAACCGGUGGGCCGUGAGAAAAUUUUGGUGGGCCGCAGAGAAAUGUCCCCCCAAAGACCCCCCCCCAAAAAGCCUGCCCACCCACUGGCUCCCACCCUGCGUUUGAGUGCAAAGCUGCAAAAAGCAGCGCACCCCUUGCCGGGCAGGACGAGGUAAUAGUGCUAUUGCAGCAAGAGGGG